AAGGGUCAAAUACGUCCCUGAACAUUUCGUGAAAAGUCAAUUAGGCCCAUGAACUUUUUAAAAGUGCAAUUGAACACAUGAACUCAUGAUUUCGAGUCAUCUGACUGCAAUUCCCAUCACGUCUCCGGUU